GUCCCUUUUAGUAAAUUAGAUAACAUUAAUGAACUAAAUGUAUAUAACUGGGGUGAUGUUGUACAUAGUUUGAUAGUUAGUAGUUUGAAUCGGGCAUCCGAUAAAUAAAACCCCAAAAGUUACCACGAAGUUAUACACAUAGCUGGUUGUGCAACAGUUUUGCAGUUGUGGGUUGUUGAACACAUAAGUUUGUAUCAUAUUGGUGGAAGAUGUAUUUAUCCUCAAUUUCUUGAUUGAGUAUAAUUAAAGAUAAAAGGAAAAGAAUAAAAUCAAGUUUUGAACGAACUAAGAUAUUGUGGGAUUGCAAUUUGACUAAAGAACAAUUAUACAAUGACGAAAUAAAAGAAUCACUUACUUUUGAUGGGAGACUAAUCCUAAGUCAAAUGACGAAAAUUUUGACUUUGCUAGAGUUGUGCAAGAGUAAAGGGUGUUGAGGACAAGAGUUGGUAACCAUGCACAACGAGUUGAGGAGUUACAAAUGAAAAUAAGGCGUCUUUAAGAAGAGGUUUACAAUGAGAUGCCAUAUUUUAAUGAUGGUAUGGAGGGACCUUCCAUAGAUGAAAAAAAUAAGAGAUCUAGCUAUUGUGAAUUUUGUGGAUGGGGUAACAUUGAUUGUGCACGUCUUUACACCACCUGCACUUCAACUCUUUAUAAUGAUGGUGAUCAGUAAGUUACACAGAACAAAAUAAUAUAUAUAAAUUGUAUGAUUUAUAAAUGUAUUUGAAAUGAACAUUAUCAUGAAUUUGUUUUCUAUAUAGAGCGCUUGUGGAGGUGUCAAACAACAUCUUGACCAAAGCAUACUUGCAAUGCUUACGACCUCGUGGAAAGAUUGAUAACAUGCUAAGUUUUGUUAUGAACCAAAACUUGUAUAAUAAGAACCAUUUAUGUGGGUGAAUAAGUUUGAUGAAGUUUUGGUGUACGUUAUG